ACCAGGGGUCUGGGAUAACCCCAGGAAACUGGGGAUAAUACCGGAUGGGUCACUACUUUUGGAAUGGGUGGUGACUGAAAGGCGACGCCCUUGGAUGGGUCUGCGGCGGAUUAGGUUGACGCCGGUGUAACGUACCGGCGUGCCUGUAAUCCGUACGGGUUGUGGGAGCAAGAGCCCGGAGAUGGAUUCUGAGACACGAAUCCAGGCCCUACGGGGCGCAGCAGGCGCGAAAACUCUACAAUGCAGGCAACUGCGAUAGGGGGACAUCGAGUGGCAACCCACCUUGGGUGCCUGUCCCACCGUCUAAAAAACGGUGGUUAGCAAGGGCCGGGUAAGACCAGUGCCAGCCGCCGCGGUAAUACCGGCGGCUCGAGUGGUGGCCGAUAUUAUUGAAUCUAAAGGGUCCGUAGCCGGCUUUGCAAUUCCCCCGGGAAAUCCAGCGGCUUAACCGUUGGGCUUCCGUGGGAUACUACAUUGCUUGGGACUGGGAGAGGUAGGAGGUACUCCGGGGGGUAGGGGUGAAAUCCCUGUAAUCCUCCGGGGACCACCGGUUGGCGAAGGCGUCCUACCAGAACAGGUCCGACGGUGAGGGACGAAAGCUAGGGGCACGAACCGGAUUAGAUACCCGGGUAGUCCUAGCCGUAAACGAUGCCCGCUAGGUGUCACGGCAGUCGUGAACUGCCGUGGUGCCGUAGGGAAGCCGUGAAGCGGGCCACUUGGGAAGUACGACCGCAAGGUUGAAACUUAA
rnacentral:rRNA from 1 species